rnacentral:rRNA from 1 species
UACGAAGGGGGCUAGCGUUGCUCGGAAUGACUGGGCGUAAAGGGCGUGUAGGCGGUUUGUACAGUCAGAUGUGAAAUCCCCGGGCUUAACCUGGGAGCUGCAUAUGAUACGUGCAGACUAGAGUGUGUGAGAGGGUUGUGGAAUUCCCAGUGUAGAGGUGAAAUUCGUAGAUAUUGGGAAGAACACCGGUGGCGAAGGCGGCAACCUGGCUCAUUACUGACUCUGAGGCGCGAAACCGUGGGGAGCAAACA